UAGCUAUAGAGACAUGAGGAAGAGAGGCACUACAACAAAAUGCAACGUGCGCACAUCUGGCAAAUAAGAGUUGAGUAGGAGAGAGACGGCUAUGGAAGAAAGAAAAGUGUACCCUAUCCCCUUGAAAGUCUUUUUGAAGUUUUGGUUGGUUGUUUAAAAUAUCGUGGGCAACUUUAACAUUAUGGAUUCAGCGAUAAUAACGGUGGAAAAUAAAACUGAAUUUAUAUAAACAUAGAUUGCAAUAUAACCAUAUUCGGGAAGGUCAAACACCAUCCGGAGUUCAAAAAGCCUUGCCUUUCCUGUUACGGGGUCGGCAUGACUUGGGCUUGAGAUAAAGUUUGAAUUGUUAACUUUAAAGAGAAAUUAAACCCCCAACUAACAGCGUUCGAAACCUAAACCACCCCAAAAAGCCACCACUGAGCUUACUUGCUCUCAACAUCCUGUCCGACACGUUUUUUGGAUUUUUGAAGUCACACGCAUCAACGAAUCUAUUUCCCCUUCCACCACAUUUCCCAUUAUUUUAGUGCCGGCAUCCAGUGUGCUGGGCUUCUUCAAAGGGGCAUAUUCUUGAAUCGCCUUUUUGUCAUUCCUAUUGCGUGUGCCAAAAAUUUCAUGGCGCAUUGUAAAGGUGACGAAUCUGAUUUUCCUGGAAUGUGUGAAAAUACCAUACUUUAUAUUAUUUAGCGUAGUGUCUGGGACGCAACAAAUCCAAAUACUAGUAGAGUUUCUAUCGAUAUGCUAAAAAACAAUUUGGCUACGCCUACUAUGGGCUUUACCCCCAAAAAGGCAAAAACUCUAAAACCCAAGCUUUUGUAAAUUUGUUCGAUGUUUCUUUAUUUCAAUAUUUUUAUGCCAAAUUCUAUCAAUGUGAAAAAUAGAAUUUUGAACUUUCUUGAUCACACUACCACGAGCUGAGUAACUGGUAUCUAAGAGAGUAGACUUUAGCUUUCUCUUUUGUUUUUCCCGAUACUCGUAGAGUAAAGGGGUACACUAGAUUCCUUGAAAAGUAUGUAACAGGCAGAAGAAGGCGUUUCCGACCAUAUAAAGUAUAUAUAUUCCGUCCGUCUUUAUGAACGUCGAAAUCUCAGGAACUAUAAAAGCUAAAAGUUUGAGUUUCGGCAUAUAAAUUAGAGACAUAGACGCGGCCCAUGUUUGUUGACCCAUGUUGUCACGCCCACUAACUUCCAUAAACCGCCCAAAGCUGGCACGCCCACACUUUUGAAAAAUGUUUUGAUAUUUUAUCAUAUUUUUAUUAGUUUUGUAAAUUUCUAUCGGUUUGCCCUAAAACCGCCCAGAGCUGCCACGCCCAAACUUUCGAAAACUGUUUCGAUUUUUCUUCGUUUUAUUGUUUAUCUUGCCAAUUUUCUACCAAAAACAAUUUGAUAGUGUUGAACAUACAUACUUGUAUACGUCGAGACAUAUAAACUGAAGAGAUUUGCAGUUUUUAUUACUAUUGUUUAUAUUGUUUUUGUUACUAUUUUUCCACGCUCAUUACGCUAAAAUAAAUGUAUAAAAAUAAUUAAUAAUCAUAUAUAAAUAAACUUAUACGAAAUAAAAACGGUCGCUAGGUGAAUACCAAGCUUGGCUUUCUGCAAAUCUCUUAAGGAGAGUUGGCGUAAUUUAGCUAGGUAACAGGUAUGAGAUAGCCGGGAAAAAUUAUGUUUCAUCUCGGUAUUUUCACCUUUUCUUUCAUUUUAUCAAGUUUCUUUUUUUGACUUGCGAUACACGACUAUCAGAUACCAGUUCAUCAUUUUUCUGGGAUAUCGAUAGAUAUUGGGGAAUAAAAUGAGAA